rnacentral:tRNA from 1 species
GCACCCGUAGCUCAGCUGGAUAGAGCGUUGCCCUCCGAAGGCAAGGGGGUCACACGUU